rnacentral:rRNA from 1 species
GUGGAUUAGAUACCCUGGUAGUCCACGCCGUAAACGAUGCUAACUUGUUUUUGGGUUUUCGGAUUCAGAGACUAAGCGAAAGUGAUAAGUUAGCCACCUGGGGAGUACGUUCGCAAGAAUGAAACUCAAAGGAAUUGACGGGGGCCCGCACAAGCGGUGGAUUAUGUGGUUUAAUUCGAUGAUACGCGAGGAACCUUACCAAGGCUUAAAUGGGAAUUGAUGGGUUUAGAAAUAGACCGUCCUUCGGGCAAUUUUCAAGGUGCUGCACGGCCGUCGACAGCU